UGGUGGAGUGAUUUGUCUGGUUAAUUCCGUUAACGAACGAGACCUCAGCCUACUAAAUAGCUUGGCAUAUCUACGGAUAUGUACAAGUCUUCUUAGAGGGACUUGUGGUGUUUAGCCACAGGAAGUUUGAGGCAAUAACA
rnacentral:rRNA from 1 species